UACAGAGGGUGCGAGCGUUGUUCGGAAUUACUGGGCGUAAAGCGCGCGCAGGCGGCCUUUUAAGUCUGACGGUGAAAUGCCGGGGCUCAACCCCGUGCCCGCCGCGGAUACUGGGAGGCUGGAGACGAGUAGAGGCAAGCGGAAUUCCGGGUGUAGCGGUGGAAUGCGUAGAGAUCCGGAAGAACACCGGAGGCGAAGGCGGCUUGCUGGGCUCGGUCGUGACGCUGAGGCGCGAAAGCGUGGGGAGCGAACGAGGAUUGAUGAA
rnacentral:rRNA from 1 species